GAUGUAGAAAAGCUUCCUCCCCACUUAGUAGACCGUGUCUUGAAACUGUUGCCGUGUACACAGGAAGUACUGUAGCUGAGCUGGUGGAAAUCAGUGUUGUAGUUGAUAAUGAAGACUCACCAGAGCUUUUGUGGUGGGAGAACAGUGACACUUCGGAGACCACAAGAAGAACUUGUGAAAAAUGUUCGUGAAAAGGAAAAAGAACAAAGCAGAAAUUCCACAGAUGCACAGUUACAGGAAGAGACAACAAGGAUACAAAAUGAGAGUAGUCAGGGAAGCGAUGGUACAACCUGUCCUCCCAGAUCCAUCGUCCUACAAGUAGUCUCUUUCGACACUCCUCUGAGUGAUGAAUCCAACUCAGAAAAGUGCACUAACUCUGAUCCGAACCAGAAAGAUCUCACCGAUGCCCAGCAAGAAACACAGAAUACAGACCCACUGAAUGGUGAGCCUAAACACUGUAAGAUGUCAGAAGAUAUACUGAGAACCACUGAGCAGAAAGAAGCACUGGUAGAGAACUAG
rnacentral:lncRNA from 1 species